GCUGGGUGUGGUGGCACACACCUGUAUUCUCAGUGGCUCAGGAGACCGAGGCAGGAGGAUCGCAAGUUUGAGGCCAGCCUCAGCAAUUUAGGGAGGCCCUAGCAACUUAGCAAGACCCUGUCUCAA
rnacentral:sRNA from 1 species